UGGAAUUCACUUCACAUUGUGGG
rnacentral:piRNA from 1 species